rnacentral:rRNA from 1 species
CCAAUAGCGUAUAUUAAAGUUGUUGCAGUUAAAAAGCUCGUAGUUGAAUUUCGGGAUCAAGGGAUUGGUCAUGCCUCGGUAUGCACUGGUCUUAUUGGUUCUCACCUUCUAAAGAACCAUGAUGUCAUUCAUUUGAUGUUAUGGGGAAUUAGGACUGUUACCUUGAAAAAAUUAGAGUGUUUAAAGCAAGCUUACGCUUGAAUACAUUAGCAUGGAAUAAUGAAAUAGGACAUCAGAUUCUAUUUUGUUGGUUCCUAGGAUCGAUGUAAUGAUUAAUAGGGAUAGUUGGGGGCAUUAGUAUUCAAUUGUCAGAGGUGAAAUUCUUGGAUUUAUUGAAGACUAACUACUGCGAAAGCAUUUGCCAAGGAUGUUUUCAUUAAUCAAGAACGAAAGUUAGGGGGAUCGAAGACGAUCAGAUACCGUCGUAGUCUUAACCAUAAACUAUGCCGACUAGGGAUCGGAUGAUGUUAAUUUUUUAAUGACUCAUUCGGCACCUUACG